rnacentral:snRNA from 2 species
AAAAGUUGUAGCUCUUUUAGAAAUUGUCUAGCAGGCUUUCUGUCUAUUAUCAGAACUCCUCC